rnacentral:lncRNA from 1 species
GCUCACUGCACCCUUGACCUUCUGGGCUCAAGCGAUCCUCUUGCCUCAGGCUUCUGUUUAGCUGGGGCCACAGGCGGGCACCAAAAUGCCUGGCUAAUUUUUUUGUUUUUAUUUUGGUAGAGACGAGGUCUCACUUUGUUGCCCAUGCUGUUCUCAAACUUCUCGGCUCAAGUGAUCCUCCCACCUCGGCCUCCCAAAGUGCUGUGUUACAGGCAUAAGCCACUGCACCUGGUCUCUACUUCGUUCUUACUCUUCUUCCCGACUCUGUGAUCAGCUCUUUUUCCUCACUGACAUCUCUUAUCACCAGCAGAGGCCUACCACUAGACACCAGUGGUUCUACUUCCCUGGUUGAGCCCUGGUAGAUACGGUUCCUGAGAACUUCAUGGAGCAGUUUCUGCACCAAACCUGCCCUCUCUACCUCUGGACCUCUACGUGGAAAAGAGAAGUCCGUAUUGGAAGCCUUGACUCUGGCCCAGACAUUUCUGCUGUACCUCAUGUAGGGUGAGCCCAGGACCUGCCACACUGUGCCAGCCUCGCCCAAGCCACCCCCCAGCCAGGACGCGGUCUUUCCUGACUCAGCAGGCUGAGGCACCUGAGGCUUUCAUUUUAAUUAUGAACCACUUCAAAGCCUUUCUGGAAGCAGUCUCUGCAAUAACCAACCUGGGUUCUCUCCUAAUGUGGGGAUUGUCCUGGAGCCCAGGCCUUCCAAGGCUCCUCCGCCCGCCAACAUCACCUACCUCAUCUUCCUCUUCAGCACAUCCCCAACAUUGUCUAAGCGGUAACUCACCUGAGCAAAGCACUUGACACGGAUUCAUUCAUUUACUCCUCACAACAACCUGAUGAGAGCACUGAUUAACUUCAAAGGGGAAAAACAAUAACCUUUACAAUGGAUAGAUCUGGCAGGAACCAUGUUAACCAAGUGAUCAAAGGUAGCAUCACCAAUAAUGGGGCAAACCGACAUCCUGUGCUUCCCCAUUGAUGCGCCGAGAAGGACACAGCAUUGCUCAUGCAGCAUCCUUGUCAAAAAUGCGUAAACGGAAUCUAAUCAUGAGAAAACUGCCAGACAGCCAAACUCUUCAGAAAUGUCAAUAUAAUGAAAGGCAACAAAGAUUGAGAAUAACUUUACCAGGUUAAAGAAAACUAAAAAGAUAUGACAACUGACUGCAACGCAGAAUCCUGGACCAGACCCUGGAUCUGGUCAAAAGAAAAAUGCUUUAAACGACAGUAUUGGGACAAAGGGUAAAAUUUGAAUGUGGAUCAUGUAAUAGAUGAAUAAUAUAUUGUAUCAAUGAUAUGUCCGUGACUUGGUAAUUGUUCUGAGGAAAUGUAAGAGAAUAUAUUUAUUAUUUAUUAUUUUUUUUUUUGAGACCAAGUCUUGCUCUAUCACCCAGGCUGGAAUGCAAUGGCGCAAUCUCAGCUCACUGCAACCUCCACCUCCCAGGUUCAAGCGAUUCUCUUGCCUCAGCCUCCUGAGUAGCUGGGAUUACAGGCGCUCACCAUCACAUGCCCAGCUAAUUUUUGUAUUUUUAGUAGAGAUGGGGUUUUACCAUGUUGGCCAGGCUGGUCUUGAACUCCUGACCUUAGGUGAUCCACUCACCUUGGCCUCCCAAAGUGUUGGGAUUACAGGCUUGAGCCACCAAGCCCGGCCUGAGAAUGUAUUUAUUCUUAAGAGAUAUGGGCCGGCCAGGUGUGGUGGCUUAUGCCUUGAAAUCCCAACACUUAGGGAGGUUGAGGCGGGAGGAGGUUGAGCCCAGGAAGUCAAGAAUCAGGAGUUGGAGACCAGCCUGGACAACAAAGUAAGACCUCGUAUCCACAAAAUAAAAAAUUAAAAAAUUAGCUGGGUGUGAUAGCAUGUGCCUGUGGUCUCAGCUACACAGCAGGCUAAGGCAGGAGGAUCGCUUGAGCCCAGCAAGUCAAGGCUGCAGUGAGCCGUGAUUGCACCACUGCACUCCAGCCUGGAUGACAGAGCAAGACCCUCAAAAACAAACAAACAAACAAACAAAACUUAAAUAUAUGGUAAAAAGUAUUCACAGAUAAAGGGUUAUGAUGUCUGAAACUUAAACUUAUAUUCAAAUGAUGGCUCAUACACAAAAACUAAAAUGAUUACAUCUAUGCAUGAAAUGCAUGUGUUUUUAUAAAGAAGAGAGAAUAAAAUGUAGUAAAAUAUUCAUUAUCAGUGAAAAGGUAUUUGAGAGUUUAUUAUACUAUUCUUUUAGCUUUUCAGUGCGUUAAAAUUUUUUCAAAAUAAGAAGGUUGUUAAAAGGGAGUUCCUGAAUUCACACAAGUGGUACGUCCAUCCUGGCACUUACUAGACCUUAACUGAGGCCAGUUCCCACCUCUGCAG